GACGAACGCUGGCGGCGUGCCUAAUACAUGCAAGUCGAACGCAGUGGGGACGGGUGAGUAACACGUGGGUAACCUCCCAUCAGAGGGGAUAACACUUGGAAACAGGUGCUAAACCGAUACUGAUGGAUGGACCCGCGGUGCAUUGGCAAGUUGGGGGGGUAACGGCUCACCAAGGCCACGAUGCAUAGCUGACCGGAGGGGGUGAGCGGCCACUCUGGGACGGAGACACGGCCAAGCCCCUUACGGGGGCCGCCAGGGGGGAAUCUUCGGAAAGGAAGGAAAGUUUGCGCGAGAAAGGCCGCGUGGGUGAGAAAGGUUUUGGGUUCGAAAGACGCUGUUAUUAGGGAGGCGGUAUCUAACCAGAAAGCCACGGCUAACUACGUGCCAGCCGCCGCGGUAAUAC
rnacentral:rRNA from 1 species